UCCACUCUCUAUCAUUGUUAUUAACAUUCUUACCUAUUAUUUGUGUGAUCCUAUGCUUUACAAGGACUCAAACUUUUAGAAAAGACGGUCUUACAAGAAAGACCGCUUUGAUGGCACUUAACUUGCCACGUAACUGCCACACAAUUGCUGACAUCAGCAAUAUAUAAUCUUAUAUUUUUCUUCUCAUUUUCCUAAACCUAAUUCAUUCUUUCACCCUCCUAAACAAUCCGUGUCUCCCUCUCUCUCUCUAAACACUCGGUCCCUUCCUCUCCUCUCCAUGACUAAGCUGCUAAAGUCGCUGCUUCUCCUUCGCCGGCGAAGAUUUGAGAAUGUAACGGUGGCGGUGGCGGUGGAAGGAGGAGCCCUGCGGAGACUGAUUUGAGAAAGUUUCUCAGGAUGUAUAAAAUUAUCACAUUUUCUCUCUCUUCCUCAUCAUAGAAGAGACGGCGAAGGUCGUCGUAGGAUAUCGACCGGACUUGAAUAGCCGCGGGGACAGGGAAGCAGGGAGCAGAGGUGGCGAGGCAAUGUUAGGGUUUCGCAGCGAGAGAGGAAGGAGAAGAGCGACGGCGAAUUUGGUGGCCGACGAGCAGCGGCGAUGUGCGAUGUUCAGGAAAAUCGGUCUGCUUGGUCUGAUGGUCCUGGUUCAGUUGGAAGAAAAUGCAGGGGCAGAAAUGUUGUGUUUGAUUGCUGAUCCCUGCAGGCGGUAUGGAGAGGAGUGAGACAGGGUAAGAUGGCAAAAUUGCAAAGAAAUGUAGUUUAAUUUCCAAAUCUGUAUUGUAAAUGUGAAUAAUUUUAUUCAUUUAUAUUAGUCAUGAUUCAAUUGGUUUUAGUUAAGAAUAAUUUCAUCUUAGUUACAUUUUUGUUAUAUUUAGUUAAGAAUAUUUCCGUUUUAUUUAAAAAUAAUUUCAUUUUA